GAUGAACGCUGGCGGCAUGCCUAAUACAUGCAAGUCGAGCGAAUGGAUUAAGAGCUUGCUCUUAUGAAGUUAGCGGCGGACGGGUGAGUAACACGUGGGUAACCUGCCCAUAAGACUGGGAUAACUCCGGGAAACCGGGGCUAAUACCGGAUAACAUUUUGAACCGCAUGGUUCGAAAUUGAAAGGCGGCUUCGGCUGUCACUUAUGGAUGGACCCGCGUCGCAUUAGCUAGUUGGGGAGGUAACGGCUCACCAAGGCAACGAUGCGUAGCCGACCAGAGAGGGUGAUCGGCCACACGGGGACGGAGGAACGGCCCAGACUCCUACGGGAGGCAGCAGUAGGGAAUCUUCCGCAAUGGACGAAAGUCUGACGGAGCAACGCCGCGUGAGUGAUGAAGGCUUUCGGGUCGUAAAACUCUGUUGUUAGGGAAGAACAAGUGCUAGUUGAAUAAGCUGGCACCUUGACGGUACCUAACCAGAAAGCCACGGCUAACUACGUGCCAGCCGCCGCCGUAA
rnacentral:rRNA from 1 species